AAUAAAUUACACAUACAAUUUCGAUAUUGAAAAAAAAAUUAUUUUUGUUUAUAUAUGCUACUACGCGUAUAAUAAAAAUAUUAUCUUAAUAAUAAUAUUUAAUAAUACAAAUUUAAUUUAAGCACACUGUACGUUCGUGUGUGAUGACAGAAUUAGACCCUUACCACUACCAUGUAAUUUGAAUGAGGCCAAUCACCCAGCCACCAUCUCCGAAUGGAACAUAAUCAGGCUGCAAAUAUAAACGAAAUUCCAAAAAUUGUCGGUGGUUCUGUAGCAGAGGAUGGGCAAUAUCCCUAUCAAGCCUCACUUCGUUAUAGAAAUCGUCAUUUUUGUGGAGGAUCAGUAUUAAAUAAAAGAUGGAUACUGACAGCUGCUCACUGCUUAUCAAGUUUUAAUGAUACAGCAAUAACUGUCGUAUUGGGUACUAAUACUUUAGACAAAGGCGGUGAUAAUUAUCAAUCUGAAAAAAUAAUUGGCCAUCCAAAAUACAGUUCUAUAUUGAUCAGAAACGAUAUUGGAUUGAUCAAGUUGGAUAAGAAUAUCAUUUUCGGAGAUAAAGUGAAGCCUAUUCAAUUACCCAAUGAAAACUUCAAUAAAAUAGAUUAUCCUGCUGUAUUAUCUGGUUGGGGAACUACUAGCUAUCCUGGACAAGUGCCAAAUGAAUUAUACUAUAUUCAAUUGAAUGUGAUCGAUCAAAAACAAUGUUUAAAUGUCAGCUUCCGUGUCACCAAUGACAAUAUCUGCACACUUAACAAGAAGGGUGAAGGCGCUUGUCACUCCGUCGACGAAAACUGUGUCGACGAAAGCGUAACAGUGAGCACCAUUGAAUCCCACUCACCUAGUUUGAAAAGAAUUACAUUAACUAUGCGGGAUGUAUCGCACCCUUAACUUUCUUACGCGAUAAAAUAAAAUAAAAUAAUUGCCUUUUUAUUCUUUUAUUCGAUGUACGAAUUUUUUACACCAACAAAGGUGAUUCUGGUGGACCCUUAGUUGCCGAUAAUGUACAAAUCGG